AAAGAGAAAGAGAAAGAGAAAGAGAAAGAGAGCAGGUUUCUCUGUCACCUUUCUCCCGCUAAUUUUUUAUUCCUUCCUUUCUUUCCUCCCUUCUCCU
rnacentral:ribozyme from 12 species